rnacentral:lncRNA from 1 species
CCUUUCACAAAAAUUAACUCAAAAAUGGAUCAUUACUUAAAAUCACUUGAUUAUAAAAUGCAAAGCUAUAAAACUUCCGGAAGAUUACAUAGGAGAAAAUCAAGGUAACCCUGGGUUUGGCAAUGAGUUUUUAUCAUCUUUAUUAUUAUUAUUUGAGAUGGAGUCUUGCUACAUUACCCAGGCUGUUCUCCAACUCCUGGACUCAAGCAAUCCUCCCUCCUCAGCCUCCCCAGUGGCUGGGACUGCAGGCACACGCCACCACGCCUGGCUUGGCAAUGAAUUUUUAGAUACCACACCAAAAACAUAAUCUAUAAAAGAUUGAUAAGUUGGACCUUAUAAAGGGUAUCAGAUGCCAAAGAAGAUAUACAGAGGGCAAAUAAGUAUAUGGAAAGAUGCUCAACAUCUUAUGUCUUUAGGGAACUGCCAAUGAAAACGACAAUGUAGAAACCACCACACCGCUGUUAGAAUGACCAAAAUCCAGACACCGACAUCACCAAAUGCUGGUGAGGACGUGGAGCAACAGGAAUUCUCAUCAUGGCUGUGAGAAUGACACUUGGGUGUUUUCUUACGGAUCUAAACAUAUUCUUGCCAUCAGAUCCGGCAAUUGUGCCUCUUAGAAUCUACCCAAAUGAGUUGAAAACAUAUAUUCACACAAAAACCUGCAUGUGAAUGUUUGUAGCAGUUUUAUUCACCAUUGUUCAAAUUUGGAAGCAACCAAGGUGACCUUCAAGAGGGAAAUGUUGAAUGGAUAAGCAAAGUGUGGCCCAUCCGUCUGGGGAAAUAUUAUCUGACAAUAAAAAGAAAUGAGGCCGGGUGCAGUGGCUCACACCUGUAACCCCAGCACUUUGUUAGACCAAGGCAGGUGGAUCACAUGAGGUUGGGAGUUCGAGACCAGUCUGGCCAAUAUGGUGAAACCCCAUCUCUACUAAAAAUACAAAAAAUUAGCGGCGUGGUAGUGGGCACCUGUAAUCUCAGCUACUUGGGAGACUGAGGCAGGAGAGUUGUUUGAACCUGGGAGGCAGAGGUUGCAGUGAGCCCAGAUUGCACCCUGGUCACACCACUGCACCACUCCAGCCUGGCCUCGAAACAGUGAGACUCCGUCUCAAAAAAAAAAAAAAAAAGAAAAGAAAAGAAAAAGAAAAGAAAUGAUCUGGCUGGGUGCAGUGGCUCACACCUGUAAUCCCAGCACUUUGGGAGGCUGAGGCAGGAGGAUCAUUUGAGCCCAGGAGUUCAAGACCAGCCUGGGCAACAUAGCAAGACCCCAUCUCUACAAAAACUAAAAAACAAAAUUGGCUGGGCACGGUGGGGUGCACCUGUAAUCCCAGCUACUCAGGAAGCAGAAGCAGGAGGGUCGUUUAAGGCCAGGAGUUCGAGGCUGCAGUGAGCUGUGAUGAUACCACUGCAUUCCAGCCUGGGCAACAGAGCAAGAUCCUGUCUCUAAAAUUUAAAAUUUUAAAAAAGAAGGCUCCAGGAAGUGGGCAUCUAACAGGGAGAUACCACAUAAAGCUGGAAAGGGAUGCUGGACACUUCAGGGACGGCUGGACGGGCGUCUAGGCUGCGGUUGAUGCUCAGGGAGGAAAGCUUCCUCGUGCCCGGUAGGUCUUCUGGUCCCGACCAGCCGUCAUUCCCGCAAACACCGCUGGAGGGCGCGCGUGGUAACUGGAAAACGCCCACAUGGGUUCCUCGGUGUGACGAGCUGUAAUGAUGCCACUGCACUCCAGCCUGGGCAACAGAGCAAGAUCCUGUCUCUACCAUAAGAAAAAAUUUAAAAAAAGAAGGCUCCGAGAAGUGGGCAGUUAACAGGGAGAUACCACAUACAGCGGGAAAACACAAUAAAACCAAAACGCCAGCCAACCACGUUGCACAGGAGGGCCCAGGGGAAUGCAACCUGGUAUCAACAAGGAAUGGGCUGGCCGGGGGCACCGGUGCUGUCAAGGGGCUCAGGAGUGUCUGUCCUCUGUAAGCCAGAGCAGACGAUACAAGACGUGGUUCUAGAAAGGUUUCCCUAGUAGCAAUGAAAAUCAUGGGACCCCAGAAUAAUUGGGGUCAGGUGGUAGUGCUGACUCAUCAGAAGCCAGGUGGGUGGAAUCCUUGCGAGGGCAGCAGGCUGAGUGGUGACGGGGAAGCGGGAGCUGCAGACGGCUAUGAAGAUGGUUCAUAAAACGUGGUAUUCCUAGGGGACAGACAGACAGCCAACAAGAAUAUUACUUAAAGAUCGAACCAAGAGAAGUCAACAAUGGAUACCAGAGGGCGGCGGGAAGCCACUGCAAGGCAACGUCUCGGUGCUUUGCUUGGCUUCCUGACCUGAGCCAGCCUUUGACCUGUGACUCAGUGCCUGCAGGAAGACCUCCCCGAACCACAGCGCGUGCAAGCUGUCACGAUGCGCCUGGGCCUUGCACGAGAGGACCCUACAGCCUCCCUCGAAGGAGAUGCCGGACACUUCAGGGACGGCUGGACGGGGGUCUACGCUGCCGUUAAUGCUUAGGGAGGAAACGCUCAUGGUGCCCAGUGGGUCUUCUGGUCCCGACCAGCCGUCAUUCCCGCAACCACCACUGGAGGGCGCGCGUGGUACCUGGAAAACGCCCACAUGGGUUUCUCGGUGUCCCGGAAGCUGUCCUGGCGGACACGGCCACGCAGAAGCCUCUGAAACUGCAGCCCCUGCUGCCCCGGCUCCCCUUGCAAGAUAAGAAAUCAAAGCAAUGAUGUGUUCCUGGGAGACGGGCAGGGCUUUGAGCCAGCUGUAAAGAUCCAGAGGUCCCCAUCCCAUGCCCGUUUAAAUAAUUAUUCUGGCCCCUGCAAAAAAGCAAGACCAGUCAUGAAAUACGACCGAGGAUGGUGCAGACCUCACCAAGUCAAAGCCCGAAACGGCUACAGGCACGGCGUCUUCCCCGGAGCAGGCACACGGCCUCAGGGAUGCGACGUUGGCCGCUGAGCUGGAAAGGGCCUUUUCCCAUCCCUGUCAGUACGGAGAUCAGAAGCAGUUCCUGUUCACACGGAAGGACAAAAGCAUGCGUUUAAAAUUUUGUCCCGGCCGGGCGUGGUGGCUCACACCUGGAAUCCCAGUGCUUUGGGAGGCCAAGGCGGGUGGAUCGCUUGAACACAGGAGUUCAAGACCAGCCUGACCAACAUGGCGAAACCCCAUCUCUACAAAAACAAUGACAGAAAUUAGCUGGGCAUGGUGGCUCACACCUGCUGACCCUCAUGGCACUAGGGGUAGCUGGGGUGGGAAAAGACGUGUGUGGAAUUCAUGACAGCCCGACCAGAGAACACACUGUAUUCCCAAGGCUCCACAGCAAGGCCAGGUGUCCCCUGCCCCAUGUCCCCUGCAGCAGGGAACCGUCUGGCCCUGGCGGAGACGGAACAGGGCACUAUCUGGCCAGGGGGCAUGAAGCAACUAUGUGGCAAGAGCUUCCCUUCUGAGCUGGACCCCGUCAGAUCCAACAAGUCACAGGCCAGGCAGCCCAGCCGCAGGGCUCCGAGUGGAAGGGUCCAUGGGACAGGCCCAAGCAGGCCCACUCAGAGGUGGCCCUGAAAGACACUGUGGACAGAAAUCUCCGGGCCAGAGCCUCAGGCCACGCAUCUGGCCGUCCACUCCUCUGUGUAGGAAGAACAGUGGCCCACGGAAUGGAUUUCCAUCACGGGCGUUUCUAAUGUGCUCUGAGCAAGCUUCUGGGAGGCGCCGAGACGUGCAGAGUGGAUGGCUACUGAUGUGGCAGGAGGAGGGGAAGCAGGAGGCACACUGG